ensembl:lncRNA
CUCAGAACAUCUUUCAGCCACAGGAAAAGAAUCAGAUCAGUCCACACUGGAGGAUCCCUACAUGCUACAGAGCCUUUUCCCAGAAUACAGGGAAACAUCAGGAAAUAUGAUGGGCAGUGCUGGGCUCUUUUGUUUGAAUGGGAGUGUUGUGAGACACUUUGACCUGGCAAUGCAGUGGCUUUUAGCUAUUGUAUAUUCUGACCAAUAUACUGCUUCUACCAACCAAAGAGUGAGAUGAACUCUGCUGCUGAUUGAAAAGCAAAGGCAGCGAUUCUUUUAAAGAAAAAGCUGAUAAAUAGAAGGAGUUUAAUGAACACUGUGGUGUACCUUUGGUUUCAGUCAAAGAGCCCUGCAGGAUGGUCCUUAUUAGGUAGUAUGAGCAGCUGUAAUUUCUUGGGUGUGACAUCUUUUUCUGAGAAGAACAAGCAACAGUGGAUGGAUCUACGCAUGGCCCUUUCCAGAGGUCUGCCUCUUGAGGAGCUGUCACCAUCUCUUCUUCCCCACUGACUAUUAAGAGAGAAUAUGUCAAAGAAAUGCCUGUUUUGCAAGUGUCUAAAGUGAUGCAAGUAGUGCAUUACCAGCCUACAUAGACAUUGGACAGAACAUCUUUCUUCAGUGUUCUUGUCCUUUGAGUUCUGAUUGUGACGUCCACGCAAACAGGCCUGGUAAGUACUUCUCAGGAGACAGUGAGGUCUGUAAUUUUUUAUUUCUCUUGGCCAGGUCUACAUGGCACAUGGCUGACUGCACUUCUGUGUUGAUCAGUGGGUACAUAAUAUGUGAUCCUAAUGGAUGCAGGAGGCCAGAAGUCUGUGCUGAAGGUUAUGUUGUGGCUGUAGUUAUAUCAGCAACACUGCUUUUAGAGCUUGUUUUGCUGAAUAACUUGAGGGGUAAAGUCUGAGCUCAGAUGAAUAACACAUUGCUAUAUUAUUCUGAUUGCUUGAAGUAAGAGCAUGCCAAUUCUUUGAUGUGCGAUGUUUGUUUCUCAGCCAAUUGCUAUUGCAAAGCUUGCUUUUUCCAAGUAUGCCAGGUGGUUAUGACAGUCACUGCUUUUCAGGUUACUGCCUCUUUCAUGCCAAGAAACAACAAGGGUUAUGUGAUAUGGCUGCCCAGAGGAACUGCUGAGGAGUUAAUGUCACUGAGGGCUCAUACAUGCUGGAAUUGAUUAAUAGCUGUGCUGAUGAUAAUACAACAGGAUUUCUUGCCAGUGUAGGAGGAUAUUAAUGCCACCUUUGUCUUUUGAGAUGCUUGUCACAUGCUGCCUCCAGGAAGGCUGGUUGUGAGCUGGAACCCAGCCUGGGAGCUAUUACAUGUCCUUUUCUUCUCCAUUAACUGCAGGUGGAGCUGAGGGGCCACAAACUUAGGGAAAAGUAUGACAGAUCUUGCCAUCAGAAGUAUCACAGACUUCUUUUUCCCCUGAGAAUGUCCUUCUACUGCUCUUCAUCUUCCAUCAACCUUUGUAGUCUGCAAAAGUUAUUCCACUUAAAAUAAAGUUAUUCUGCCCCACACUUUUUUUUCCCUAUCACUUCGCUGAUCCUGCUUACUGCAUGAUUUCACAAAUAAUCAGAGUAGAGGCAAUGAAAGUGGUGGUCAGGAUUAGGUCUCAGGGCAGCGGCCACAAUUGCUAAGAAAGCCAUGAGCUGAGCCAGGCCACAAAUCCCUGAACGUUAAAUGAGACAGGUUAAGAGUGAGUGGAGGGUUACCCUUGCCCCAGAAAUUAAGAAGGAUGAUAGUGAAAAAGAGGAGUAUGGUUGCAGUUUUCAGUGACUAGCGGAAACUCUGAAGGAUUGUAACAUGGUGCCUAGCCAAGGAUAGCAGUUGCUCUACAUCAGUAUGUGGUGUCACAUUAAGAGCUGGCUGUUGUGAGCCCUGCAAAGUUCUGGCAUGUCUUCUGCAGAUUCACAGCUAACCUGCCAUCAACAGCAUGAGCACAAUGGGUGAAUGCUGCUCGUGCAAGAAUAAAGAAUAAAUAAGCUCCACCUUAAAUAAGAAACAAUC